GUUUAUAAUAUGUAGAUAUUUUAUUUAUACUGCAAUUCUAAAAUCUAAUCACAGUGUUAAAAAAAUCAUUCAAAAAUAAUGAAAACAUUUCAAAAGAAUUUUAUAAAAUGUUUAUAUAUGGCAGGAGAAAAACAACUACAUUUCGGCUGAACACCGUCUGAUUUUACUAUGAGUGUGUAGUUCAUAUCAUUUAAAAAUUGGCAUAUAACAAAAUGGCAGUAUAUAAGAUAGAACACAAUUUGGUUGAACACCACAGUAUAAUAACAAAUCCACGUCGACUAACUGUUUACAUAUAUCAAGUAGAUAGUAGACUAAUAAGAGCAAUACUGUAGGUUUAGAGAGCUACACUUGCGAUAAUACAUGUCACCCGGAAACUGGUCAUAUCACUGACCUUAUUGUGUAAACUGACAUUUUCUGAACCUACAUGGCCUUUUGUUUGCAUGUCUGAAUUGGCGUUACAAUCUCAUUCAUAAAUAGUAGUUAAUAUAUUUAAAGAGUUGAUAACAAAGAAGGCUAUAUAGUAUAUACAUUCAAAAACAAAAGCCAUGAAUUCAGCACUGGAGCCAAACGAAUGAUGGCUGGUUCCUCUACCACCAAACCAAAUGCCAACUAAACGUCGUCGUUGUAUUUGGGUGGGAAUGAGACCAAUGUCUCUUCAAAAUAAUCCUCGAAAUAGUAAGAUAACAACAUGGUAAGAUAACAACAUAGUAACAUAACAACAUAGUAACAUAACAGCAUAGUAACAUAACAACAUAGUAAGAUAACAGCAUAGUAACAUAACAACAUAGUA